AUUCAUUUGUUCCUGAAUCAAAUUGUUGGCUUGAAGCUGCUCUCUACCCAUCGAAGUUCCUUGAGUACGAAUUCGGGUUCUCUUUGUCUCGAGGCUCCAGCUCAAUGGGAAUCAAGCCCUUCAUUGUUCUGAUUGGGGAAGAAAGCAAUUGCAGAGAUCUCUCUUCCGGUCUCCAUUCUGCCGUGGAUAGAGAAGGAGAGGAAACAAGGUAGAUGAGGAGCUAAAUAUCCCAAUCGAUAUCGGAUAAGUUGAUCGACGGAGGUGUUUGGUUCGGUCUUUCUGGAGAGGAAAUAGAUGAUCAGAUCCGGCAGCUUCAAAUGCUCUUGAUCGGUACUUGAACCGUGAAAUUGACAAGUAGUGAAUCAAAGUUUGAUAGGCGCUAAGAGUAUUUUCUACAAAGUUUGUUAGGCUGUGAUGUGAUCAGGCAUAAUAGAGUUUCUGUGUCGUCCAGUUGUAAAACUAUUGCGAGCAGAGCGGAAGUCCUAGACAGGGGUGCCGGGAGUUAGGAACUAGGUUAGGAGUUGGAGGCUGGAGAGUCAAUGUUGAUUCCGAAUUUCCGACGUGCCGGAGAUAGAUAUCAUUGAACUCGUGUGUUACGAUUGACAAAACUAUACAUGAUCGAUCUCCUUGUACUCUUCGCAGGGUGAGAGGUAGCUAACUAGCUAUGAGUUCCUUAUUUUCUUCGUGUUGACGGGGUGAUGUGAUUGUAAAAGAAAAGAUCGAUGGUGAUGCGUUUGAAACUGAUUGAAUCUGGGUUUUGAAUCAGACUCGAUUGAACCCUGGCCUUAAAACUAAGGUUGUGGGUUUUUGAGUAAUUGUGGAGUUAGUAUUGAUGAACCGAUGUUAUUCAAAAUCAGAAGAGAUCGAUCAGGAGUGGACUUUUA